UCUUCAUGUCCUCUUUUUUAUGACAAAACUGCUGAUUUGUUUUCUUCCCACUUUCCGUAUCUUUGUCGCAGCCUUAGACCUCUUGCUUUAAUCUGGACUCCAAGUUUCAGGCUCAGCCGCCGCCUAAUCCUGCAACCACACAGCCUUCACACCCAUACUCCACCAACUGCCCUGUAGCUGUGUCACUUGCUCUCUUAUCUCUCUGAGCCGGUGGGUGUUAUUCAGAAAAAGCUGCUAGGCAAAUUAACCACUUGCUGUGGGAAUGCUUUCCUUCCAUGUGCAAAACUGCCAAGUGGAAGACUUGUCCCGUAGCUUGUUAGUCCUGAACUGCCCAGGUCACUGAGAAGGUGAGGCACUGAUCACAGGACCAGCACUCCUGUCUCACCCAGGCUCCGUCCAUGGACAUUGGGAUCUUGUUCAAGGCCCCUCUUCUCUCUUGAUUGCACAAGCAGCAUGCAUUGGUAACUAGUUAGUGUCUAAGCUACACUUUGAAAUGUGCUUUUCUAUAGACGUAACUAUUAGAACAAAACUUUUUUUCCUCAUUGAAAGAAAAAAAUAUGCAGAGUGUUAUUAAUGGUAGUUUAAUUUCAAUUCCAAAACAGGAAAAAACAAAUAAUGGGACACAUUGUUUUAAUGAAAGUCUGUGGGACUUCAUUCCUCAGUUUUUUGUGAUCUAAUAUUUACAAAACCAAAGUAAUUUAAAAAAGUAUUUGACAUGCUUACAAUAGAUCCUUCAAAGCCCUGGAUACCAGAUAACGCUACAACUGUAUCACAGAACAAAAAGAAUAAGACAGGAUAUCUCUCUUCAUGCCAGUAAGCAUCCAAGCCACAUUCUCUUGCAUCCGAGUUUUAGAAUGGAUGUUUUUAACUUACUUUACGUACUGAAGAUAUGUUUAUAAGAUAGCUUAACAUUGAUAAGAAAAGAAAAACACGUAGAACUGCUGUAAGAUCGUGUAUGCUUUAAGCAGACAGCAGCUCAGAAAUAGCAUUUCACCAGCCUUGUUUCUCUCCCACAAAUAUUAACAUUCUUUGGGAAUGACUGUUCAGGAACCCAGACUCUCUCACCAUCAGAAGUGCUCUGUGAACUCCUGCGCUGUAUAUUAAGAUGCUGCCUUCUCAGCUAAUUUCUACUGUGUGGUGUUCAUGCAUUCCAUUUUUAAAACCUAAGUGUCUUACUGAGAAAAUGGGCAUCCGAAAAGUAAAUGCAGCUUAGAUUUGGCAAAACAUUAAUGACUUAUCGCUCAGUGCUCUCUAUCCAUAUGAUGGCUGCUAUAUUCCCCUUUUCUUUUCUUCCUUGUUUCUUCCUUUCUUAUCUACUGGCCCUUUUUUUCUUAGUGAUAUCCUCACUUUUACUCAUUAGGCUGUGCAGUAGUCAAGCCAAGAGUGGUGAGUCAGCCACCAGCACCAUUCAUCAUUACGUUGGUCAACAACAGUAUUUACUGUGUGAAGCAAUCAAAAUGAAUUUGUUUUAGCAGGAAGCUGAGGACAGAAAAGAUCUAGCGGACAACAUGUACGAUGUUGUUCAGUCCUACUAGGCUCUUUUGGGAACAGCAUGUGGACCUGCUGCCCUCAUCAGUGCUUCUAUAGAGAACUGAGCAAUACCUCCCUUGCUGUAGAUAAAAUUAUGGAUAAGUGAAGAGCUCAUCUGUGUCAUGGAGUAAUUUUAAACUAUGUUUUAUUGACAGCUUUAGAAGAAGUGAAAAACCGAGAAGUACAUUUAUAUUUAAAAGUACUUAUGGGAUGUUAUCAAGAUAAACGCAAUGUGUGUGCCCCAACAAAAAAACACUUUUCCUGUUGGGGAGUGGAUGGGUGGGACGUAAUAAAAUAAUUCAUCUUCAGCGCAGGACACAGAGAAGAACGUUCUCAGCAUAAGGUUUUGGAAUGUCUGAACACAGCUGCCUACCCAUGCAUGGGAAAGAAUGCAUUUCCCUGCCUCCAUUCCCAUGAAAAUUGAUUUGGUAUCCUUAUACAUUCAGUGCCUCCGUAUAGAUCUGAAAAUCUACAUCAAUAAAACCUGAUGAGAAGAAA